GAUGAUUGAUUGUACCCGCCAGCUGGCUAAUAUCAUAAUUAACAAAGUUGCUACCAUGUCUGAGAAGUUUAAUCGAAAAAAUUGCCGGCAGUAUGAUGCCAUUGUCACAGAGAUCACAAGCGCUGCAGUGUCGACUUUUGUACUGGUGGAGCCACAGGACUAUGUAGAUGUGCUGAGAAGUCGUUCGCUGGGAUAACUAAAGUGAGAUGUGAUUGCAGACGGCGCACGACUGGGCUCUGGUAGAACUGGCCAGUGGCAACCGGCCUUUGCUCUGCUCGUCACCGCCGGAGCAGCCGCGCCACGGGGACGCCAAACUGGGGAGCGGCCGCCCGCGAUGAACCCUCACAUGCGGGGAUGUCGGCAGGAACGCAGGGAAGCGUGUCAGCAAGGUUUAGCUGGUGGAUCACAUUGUGAAAUCUGCAGCCAUGAAAGGCCCUCCAUUUACUGCACCCUUCAAAACGAAAUAUUAGCAUGGGAGGCUAAGCUGGGUAUUAUGGAGCAGUGACUUCAUGUUCUCUUUCACAAGUAACUCCAGGACAGCACAAGGAGAGCUAUCAAUAAGAAAUGGAGGCUAAUAACGAAGGAGUCAGUGAAGGAGACCAAUGCCAUGAGGGUUAUCUUGCAGCCCCAGAUGCUGGAUAAGUUGAAGGAGGCAGAAUCGCUUUUGGAUGACAUUCAGGAAGGCCUUGAAUGAUUAUUUGGCGAAGAAAAGACUAUUCUUUCCAAGCAGUGAUCUCUCAGGAACCCUUUUUGAGACAAAGGAUCCACUCCACAUCCAACCACACCUAAGGAAAUGCUUUGAAGGAAUUGCCAAGCUCACUUUUAAUCAUGAGAAAGAAAUUACCCACAUGGAGUCAGCAGAAAAUGAAAAAGUAGAGCUCGUGCUGCGAAUAAUUCCAGCAAGUGCCAAGGGGCUAGUUGAGAAAUGGCUUCAUGAGGUGAAUAUCUUUAGCUCUUACUUAGGGUUUAGUUACUGUAUAAUCAUUUUCUCUUUUAGGAGCAAUGAAUAUCAUAAGCAUAUUUCCUAACUAAAUGGCUCUCUGAAUAUUUGUCAAGAUGUUGACAGAUUUCAGCCUUAUUGUUGUUAUUUAUUGCAACUAAUUUAACAUCUGCAAACGUGCAGAAAUUAAUUCUAAUAAAAAGCUCUCAGAGUCAGGCUGUCAGCAGAAGUGAGUCUGUGUCUGAAACCAUAUAUGUGAAUAUAUGUUUGAGUGUACAUGUAUGUGUUUUUGUGCUUUCAUGGUGUAAUGUCUGUAGUUCAGGAGAAUAACAUUUAAAAAAUAACCAGAGAAAUGUAAGAUUUUGAAUGCUUCCCACCUGGCAGAAAAUGUGUCCUAUUGUGUUGGAGGGAUUUAGUUUCCAAUCAUUUUAACAAAAGGGAAGAGAAAUUAUGUCACAGAUAACACCCUAACCUUUCCCCUUUGGGCCUCUCAUCCAAAUUCAUUGGUUUCUGUACAAAAUUAGUUUGGUGACCUUUUUUUGUUUGCUUUAUUUAACCUUCCUCCGCCAGUGCACAGGAAUGGGCCCUUCCCUUCUUUUUUAUUUCUGAGCCAAAAACCUAUUUUCCUUCCCACGUGCUUCCCUUUCUCCUGGGGCAGAAUCGGUCCCAGGAAUGCUGCUUCCCCUUAAUCCACUGUUGUGGGCGCUGGUCUUGUCCUUAGUGGCUUGUCCCCUGGGCACAGUAAGCAGCAGGGACCAGCACUCAGCUCCAGUGGGAGAGGGAAGGGGGGAGCUGGGGGACCACUAUUUUUAUGCCCAGUGGAGGCUGGGGGGAAUCCCUGGGCAACAAAACCUGGAGCAGGUGGUGGGUCAAAGGGGUUUGCCCCCGAUAUGUAUCAUGUUUCUGCUGGCUGGGUGAGCAAAGCCAAGCUGCUCAAGUCCUCCUGUGAAUCCUUGUUUCCCACCUAAGAGAGCCACGCAGCAGCAACAUGCCAGCUUCAGACUGAGCCCCUUUUAGCAGUGACUGCACUCAGUUUAAAUGAUUCAUCUGCAGCAUCAUUCAAGGUAGGGAAGGGAGGAUAACAGGGCAGGAUUUAGGCAAGCCCAAACACUCCCUGCUUGCUCUCCAUCUCAAGUGACUAGCUUGUUUUUUGGGGUUUUGGACUAGUUUCCAGCAAAGUUAUAUUCAUAGCCAAAAAAGAAAAAAAAAAAAAAAGUACACUGCAGUGGGUAAGUGGCAGUCCUGUGGAGCAGAGGAAAAGCUCAAAUUCUCAGUACACCAAGCCUCCAAUAUACUUUUUAGUUUUCAUCUUCUUCCACAAAUGAAACAUGGUUGGGGAAGAUGAGCAGCUGUGUUUAUAUUAAUAUAUCUCAUUUAACCCUCACCUAAAAACAAAUUGGAAGGUUUGGGAGUGCAUUAAUCUGGACCCGAUUAGUGUCUCUUUCUCCCUCAAAAGUGCAACCUGAGACUAAUGAAUAUAAACUAGAGUUUCAUAUGCAGUCUUUAAAUCAUUUGCAUGUUUUAUGCAUGAUAAUUGAAUUUAUUUAUGCACUUCCUUUCAUUUAAUGAUUUCUUGCUCUUUUCUAUGCUAUCAACAUUAUAUUAUGCAAGAAAUAGGAUUUGGUAGGCAAGAAAGGAUAGCAGUAUAUAAAUCAAACCUGAGUUAAUUUUUAGCUCUAGUGUCAAGAGUAGGUCAGACAUAAUAUUGGUACCAUGCCAGUGGGGUUACAUGGCUGGGAAAAUGUAAAAUACUUUUGGUAAAGCAGAGACUUUUAGCUUAACAAGACAUUUCUGAUACAGUUUAGUUUGCUUGCAAGUAUACAAGAAAAAUUAUUUUCAAAUGGUAGUUAAAUUAUUGUAUUGACUUUUCAAUGACCCUAGAGACUUGUGGCCAAUUAGUAGUAAUAAGAAGAUGAAUAGUAAUAACAUUAAUAAAUAACUGUUUUCAGACCAGGACCUCAGUAUUAUAGUCUGGUUUAGAAAAUAAGGGUAUAUUAUAAUUUGUCUCAUUUGGUCUUUCAUCAGGAGAAACAUGGACUUUGGAGCUAUAGUAAAUUCAUCGUAGCCAAGAAGGUAGAAGUCCUAGGGAUGAGUGAGUCAUAUUAGCUAGCAGCUCUGUGGUAGUAGCUGUUUCAGUGCCAUAAGCAGGGAAUUUUGCUUUGUUUCUCCAAUUAAGGUCAGAUGACUUAAAGAUGUCUUAGUGAUGGAGUCUGAAUUUCUUAUAACGCAUGCCAGGAAGCUACUAGGGAAAAUAGUUCUAAAAAGAUGCUGGUAGUGGUGCUUUCAUAGCUUUAAUCUAUACCAGUUUCUUUUGUGUCUCUUGUCUUUCCUUAUGUGUUGAAAGAUGUAUGUGGAAGUGAUAUUUUUCUGUGGUGUCCUGUCUUUUAUCAGUGAAUUAAAUGGUUGUGUCUUGUGAUUGUUUCUUGAUUCUCGUAGGUAGGAAUGUGUUUAAAGGCUAAAGCUCUGUUAAUUUGUGAUGUAACUAUUUCAGUGUCUUUCUUGUCAUUGAAAUGUAGUUUAAAAUGUUCAGUAAUGUAGCAUGAAAUCAUUGGUUAGUUUUGGAAUGGUGGUGAAAUCAUGUGAAGAAAAUAAGUAUUGCAUCUGAUCAAGAUAAAUUCACUCUAGUGUUUUAUGGCUUUUUAUUCCUAUGUGAUAGUAAUAAAGUCUCAUGUAGGGAUGGAAGCCAUGAAAUACAUUGUGAAAAAUCAUCAACUCAGAUGGGGCCAUCAGGAUAGCAUGCUGUAGUUGUAGAGUUAUUGAGAAUGAUUGGAAGAUGAUUUAGUAUGUCACCACGUUGACUACCAUGUUUUUGCAUUUUUUUUCUUCAUCCUUCACCCACAUGGUUUGAUGAGAGGAAAUCAGUUUGUAAUGAGCCAAUCCAUCUUCACAUCAGUGUUCAGUGUUUAAAUUGUUCAUACAUCUUUCAUUUUCUGCCAAAGAUAACACUGUAUAUGAAACGCUAAGCUAAGAAAUUAAUAUAGCUAAUGAACACAUGCCAAAAUGAAUACAAAGAAAAGUCAAUUAAUUUCUAAAUGCUUGAAAAUUAAGAAGGAAUCAAAGCAAGGUCUGCCCUGUUAGCAAGUGGUCCAGGUUCUUUAUUUCCAUGUUUGAGAGCAAAUCUGAGAGAUGGUCUGGGGAUUAAAAAAGAAAUCUUUUCCCCACUUACGUCUUUCUGAAAUUGCAUGAUCUUUUAUCUCUCUGGAACUGAGAUAGAGGCUGACAGUGCUGGGGGCAGAAAACAAUUUCUGACAAUUUCCUUACAGUGCUGCCAUUCUGCAUACUGCUUUACUGUUCUGUCUGCUUCACUUUUGGGUACCAAUUUUCUUUGGGAAUAUUUUGGGGAAUGUUAUUUAUUCAGAUGCAGUUAUUUACGGUUUUCCUUCUGUAUUCUCUCUCUGAAGCAUAUGUUAAUAAAGCAUUAUUGAUUUUUUGGUACUUUGA